CGUUGCUGAAGUUUUUGGAACGAAAUACACUGCUGAAAUUUUUGGAAUGGUACUCUUUGCAUCAACAACUUGUUUCUUUCUCUGGCCUUUAGUUCUCCAUCGUAUUAUUUCUUCUUUAGGAUGGUUUGCUACAUUUUGUGUGACAGCGACUCUUUCAUUCAUAGGUGGACUAAUGACAUCUGGUAUUGACUGAAAACGUCGUCGAUAAUGAAUACGUUGAACAUUAGUGGUUGAAAUAUUAUUAUA